UACGUAGGUGGCAAGCGUUGUCCGGAAUUAUUGGGCGUAAAGGGCGCGUAGGCGGUGCGGUAAGUCUGUUGUGAAAUCUCCGGGCUCAACUCGGAGCUUGCAUCAGAAACUGCCGUGCUUGAGUGUGGGAGAGGUGAGUGGAAUUCCGGUGUAGCGGUGAAAUGCGUAGAUAUCGGAGGAACACCUGUGGCGAAAGCGGCUCACUGGACCACAACUGACGCUGAUGCGCGAAAGCUAGGGAGCAACAGGG
rnacentral:rRNA from 1 species